UGUAUCUUGAUUAAGGUCCACCAUAGGGUAGAACUGUAUUAACAGACUUAACUUCCUUAUAUUUGAAUAGUUGUAAGCCCAUGAUAUUACCUAUGCUCAAAUAUCUCUGCAAAAAAUCUUUUUCAGUUUACCUGUGUUAUAACAAUAGCAAUGAAGCAAUCAUGGUUGGUAGUCAUGCAUUCCUUCGCUAAGGAAGGUGGUUGUUAUAGCGGUUCUUGAGUUUUAUGCUAUCCAUAUUUAUAUUUAUUUAAUUGAAGUGAUGAUCAAGUUUCUGCCUCCUUUGCAGUCUGCAGUAACAAUAUCGAAGUUAACAGAGGAGAGGAGGCUAAACUAUCAAGAAACAAAAAUCUUGCAAGAAAAGCUGGCAGAGGUUACCAAGAGAGGUCCAAGAAAGGUUCAAGUCGGGUUUCCAUUUCUCUAUGUCUGUAUGGUGGCGCUUGUCUGUGUGUUCUUGGGAUACCACCUUCACUGUUGACACCAUAAUAUGCAGGAAACAACUAACAUUUAGAGUUUGCUUCAAGACAUGUUUGAUAAUAGCGCAGAAGUUUAGGCAUAAACCCUCAUUAUAUCGAUAAAUUUCAUAGGAUCUUUAUACUUGAGGGUCAGUGAUGUUUGAUCUGAUCUGAUCUGUGUAGUCUACAAUCAUGUAUUUUUCCGCUUUUGUAUAUGGAAAACUGCCAUGAUGAACAAGCUUGUAAAGGUAAUGAGAUAUUUGCAAUCAGCCAGAUGACUUUGUGUUGGAAAUUGUUGUGUAUUCUACUUGAGUUGGGAUUGUUAUGGUUCUCUUUGUAAACUUGUCUUUGAU